rnacentral:lncRNA from 1 species
GUUAAUAACUAUUACCAUAUGUAAGGCAUCUCUCUGAAACUUCACAGGUAUUAUAUCCUUAAGGCAAAUAUUACUCUUAGAACAGUGGAAAUGAAGACUUGGAGAGCACAUGUCAUAGACAUGGGGGGAUGGAAUCAAGACUCGGACCGAUUCUGCAUGACUUCCUAGCUUAUGAUCCUUCAACCAGAAUCCAUUACCCAAGAUGGACUUCAGCCAAGCUUCUCAGCCUACAGCACUAAUGUGUAACUUCAUAAACCAUGCCCAAGGCACGUCCUAUCAAGUCUGCCUGAAAAUAGCUCCCACAUUCUGUCAGAUGAUGGCCUUCUUCAGGAAACCUCUCCAUCCAAAUGAAACCUCUCCAUCCAAAAGUUGGGUGAAUAAAAGUGCCUGUGAAAGAAUCUUCUUCUCUUAACAGGGCCCCUGUCAUAAGGAAACCUGGGAGAGCGAAGAAAGGCCUGAUUGAUCACAAGGUCCUAUCAAAUGUCAAAGCUGGCCCUGGCUGACCUCCCAUCUAUUCAGAGCUGCUUUGAUUUAAUCUCCAAACUGGCUGCUUCUCUAGGCUGUGAGUUCUGUCUGCAAC